AGUGAACGCUGGCGGUAGGCCUAACACAUGCAAGUCGAACGGCAGCACCGUACGAGCUUGCUCUUACGGGUGGCGAGUGGCGGACGGGUGAGGAAUACAUCGGAAUCUACUUUUUCGUGGGGGAUAACGUAGGGAAACUUACUCUAAUACCGCAUACGACCUACGGGUGAAAGCAGGGGAUCUUCGGACCUUGCGCGAUUGAAUGAGCCGAUGUCGGAUUAGCUAGUUGGCGGGGUAAAGGCCCACCAAGGCGACGAUCCGUAGCUGGUCUGAGAGGAUGCUCAGCCACACUGGAACUGAGACACGGUCCAGACUCCUACGGGAGGCAGCAGUGGGGAAUAUUAGACAAUGGGCGCAAUCCUGAUCCAGCCAUACCGCGUUGGUGAAGAAGGCAUUCGGGUUGUAAAGCCCUUUUGUUGGGAAAGAAAAGCAGCAGGUUAAUACCCCGCUGUUCUGACGGUACCCAAAGAAUAAGCACCGGCUAACUUCGUG
rnacentral:rRNA from 1 species